rnacentral:rRNA from 1 species
CAUAGCGACUAUCGUGGCAUAUCAAUAAGCGGAGGAAAAGAAACUAACAAGGAUUCCCCUAGUAACGGCGAGUGAAGCGGGAAGAGCUCAAAUUUGAAAUCUUAAAGGUUUUCCCUUGACGAAUUGUAGUUUAAAGAAGUGUUUUCUGUUGGAGUUUUCGGUAAAAGUUCUUUGGAAUAGGACAUCAUAGAGGGUGAGAAUCCCGUAUUUGACCGUUACUUUUCCAGCUGUGUGAUACACUUUCAAAGAGUCGGAUUGUUUGGGAAUGCAGUCCAAAAUGGGUGGUAAAUUUCAUCUAAAGCUAAAUAUUGGCGAGAGACCGAUAGCGAACAAGUACCGUGAGGGAAAGAUGAAAAGAACUUUGAAAAGAGAGUUAAACAGUACGUGAAAUUGUCAAAAGGGAAGCGUUUGACACCAGUGUUGUUUAGUUGAAAAUCAAUUCAAUAGUUUUUGAUUUUAAGUAGUAUUGACUUCAUCAGCUUGCUGCUUUCUUUUCAGGAAUUAUUGAAUGCACUUUUCAGUUAACAAGUCAACAUCAAUUUCUUUUGUUGUAAAAGGGUAAGAGGAAGGUGGCUUACGCUUCGGCGUAAGUGUUUAUAGCCUUUUACCUCUGCAAUCGGAGAGAUUGAGGUCAGCAGCGUAGACUCUUCGGGGUUAGAUACACUUGUGCUAAGCUAUAGCCUUGUAUAGACAACUUGUUGACUAUGCUCAGUCAUGUAGCUUACUCGCUUGUGCCAUUUUACCUACGCUUAGGAUGUUGAUAGUCACAGCGUGUAC